AGAGAGAUCAUCCAGCAUGGACCACAGUUUGCUCAUCUGCUGCAAAACAUCCUCUGUACUGCCAGUGGAGCACAUGUUAAGAUCCAGCCCAAGAAUUUGGCCACUUUGGUGUAAACUCCAGGAUGAUUGGGCUCAGCACAGCCUGUUCCCCAGCUGACGACUCCCACCAGCCUCCAUACACUGUCAUCCUGGCAAACCAGAGGGCCCCCACUGUCCCCCUGGAGAGUCUGGCUGCUGUCGGGAUGAAGGACCUGCGAUAGCGCUCUGUCCUGCACCAUGACUGUGACAGUCUGCUGCUGAAGGAGCUGCUCAGGGCCUCCGCAGUCUCAUGCAGGGGCUGAGAAGUGUUGCCCAUAAUGGACUUCAGCUUGGCUAACAUCCUCCUCUCACCCACCUACUCUAAGUUAUAAUAAUAAUAAUAAUAAUAAUAAUUUAAAGA